UACGAAGGGGGCUAGCGUUGCUCGGAAUCACUGGGCGUAAAGCGCACGUAGGCGGACUUUUAAGUCAGGGUGAAAUCCUGGAGCUCAACUCCAGAACUGCCUUUGAUACUGGAAGUCUUGAGUCCGAGAGAGGUGAGUGGAACUGCGAGUGUAGAGGUGAAAUUCGUAGAUAUUCGCAAGAACACCAGUGGCGAAGGCGGACUCACUGGCUCGAUACUGACGCUGAGGUGCGAAAGCGUGGGGGAGCAAACAGG
rnacentral:rRNA from 1 species